AGCAAGACUCUUAGAAUCUAUGGAUUUCCAGGUUUGUGUUUAAUUGGACAUUUCCUGAUCUUUCCAGGAACCUGAAGUAAUUUGUAUCCAUAG
rnacentral:lncRNA from 1 species